GAUGAACGCUGGCGGCGUGCCUAAUACAUGCAAGUCGAGCGAACGGACGAGAAGCUUGCUUCUCUGAUGUUAGCGGCGGACGGGUGAGUAACACGUGGAUAACCUACCUAUAAGACUGGGAUAACUUCGGGAAACCGGAGCUACUACCGGAUGAUAUUUUGAACCGCAUGGUUCAAAAGUGAAAGACGGUCUUGCUGUCACUUAUAGAUGGAUCCGCGCUGCAUUAGCUAGUUGGUAAGGUAACGGCUUACCAAGGCAACGAUGCAUAGCCGACCGGAGAGGGUGAUCGGCCACACUGGAACUGAGACACGGUCCUGGCUCCUGCGGGAGGCAGCAGUAGGGAAUCUUCCGCAAUGGGCGAAAGCCUGACGGAGCAACGCCGCGUGAGUGAUGAAGGUCUUCGGAUCGUAAAACUCUGUUAUUAGGGAAGAACAUAUGUGUAAGUAACUGUGCACAUCUUGACGGUACCUAAUCAGAAAGCCACGGCUAACUACGUG
rnacentral:rRNA from 1 species